UGUCGUGUGGUCAGUCUGACGAAGGUCC
rnacentral:sRNA from 1 species